UACGGGGGGGGCAAGCGUUGUUCGGAAUUACUGGGCGUAAAGGGCUCGUAGGUGGCCAACUAAGUCAGACGUGAAAUCCCUCGGCUUAACCGGGGAACUGCAUCUGAUACUGGAUGGCUUGAGUUUGGGAGAGGGAUGCGGAAUUCCAGGUGUAGCGGUGAAAUGCGUAGAUAUCGAGAGGAACACCUGCGGCGAAGGCGGGUUGCUGGGCUGAUACUGACGCUGAGGCGCGAAAGCCAGGGGAGCGAACGGG
rnacentral:rRNA from 1 species